rnacentral:rRNA from 1 species
UACGAAGGGGGCUAGCGUUGCUCGGAAUUACUGGGCGUAAAGGGCUCGUAGGCGGCCAACUAAGUCGGACGUGAAAUCCCCGGGCUUAACCUGGGAACUGCAUUUGUGACUGCAUCGCUGGAGUGCGGCAGAGGGGGAUGGAAUUCCGCGUGUAGCAGUGAAAUGCGUAGAUAUGCGGAGGAACACCGAUGGCGAAGGCAAUCCCCUGGGCCUGCACUGACGCUCAUGCACGAAAGCGUGGGGAGCAAACAGG